GGCCUCCGUCCCGCCCCGAGUCCUCCCGGGCCGCCAGCUCCACCAGCCCCUCUGCCUGCAGGAAGGCCCGGCCCAGAGAGAUGCCCUGGGUCGCUACCGGCCCCACGCCCCGGCCUCGGCAGCCUGACCCUCCCCAGGAACCCCGGGACAACUCACACCCUCGGGGCACCGAGAACCCCGAGAUGCGUCCCCAGAUCCCUCACUGCGCCCACCCCCGGGGACCAAGUGCUGGAGCUCACAGCCUCGCCAGGAGGAGACCCUCAGACCCAGGGGACUCGGGGCCACCCCAGGACCUGGCGACACCUGCAGGACGAGCUGGGCAGCCCCGGACGUGCAGACAGGUCAUCUGCAGAGAAUCCGGGAGCUGGGGGGGUUAUGAGAGGAGCCCCCCCCCCCAAGACUUCGAUGUGGACGGACAUUUCCCAGGGAAAACGCAGAAAGCGGAAAGGAAACAGGUCCUCUGCCUUAAUCAAAGUAGAACCUUCUGCACCGAGAGUAAGUGGUGGGCCGGUCUGGGGGCGGAGGUGGGGGUGGGGGCUGGUCUGGGGAGGACGGUCUGGGUGCCUGGAGGGGGCGGGGCCGUUGUGGGCGCAGAGGGGCCUUGGGUCCCGGAAGGUGAGGAGCAACCCCAUUUCAGAAAUAUCCAAACAUUGGAAGCAAUGUGUCCGCCGAGAUGUGCAGCUGGCAAGCCCAGGAGCCUUGUCGGGGAGCCCCCCUCCCUGCGCCCCCUCCCGCCUGGACCCUGGUGGCUGGAGAGCAGCGGCCACGGGAGGUGGUGGUGGGGGGGAAGAAUUAGGCCCUACACCUUGGGGGACCGAGACCUGUCUUUCUUGCUGGGGGGUCCCUCCCGGGUGGAUGGAGGGACGACAGAAGCGUGUGUCUGUCAGAAUGAAGGUCGGGGCCACGUCCCUGGGGAGAGUGCUCCCAGGUGCAGGCUGCUACAAGAGUCCUGGGUCCUGGGUACUUGUCACGGCCUACGACGCCUGACCACGGGGGGCAGAGUGGGCGGGCGGGGUCCCCAGGGAGGCCCACCCCAUGGCCAGGGCUCCUCUGCCUCUCAGGGUCGGGGAAGGUGGAAGUGUGGUGCCUCCAGGAAGACCCGGCCCCACCCCACCCCGCGGCCCCUCUGCCCCCCUGGCCCAGCAGAGCCCUGCGUGUCCUCCCAGCACGCUGACUGGCCUCCAGCAGCCACACGCUCCGGCCACCUAAAGUCAGAUGAGCAGCACCCCCAGGGGCUGCGGGGACCUGGGGGGACCUGGGGGGAUCUGGGGGCAGGGAGCACUGGCGGGGGCUGA
rnacentral:lncRNA from 1 species